rnacentral:tRNA from 1 species
UCUCCUAUAGCUCAGUUGGUAGAGCGUGCGGCUGUUAACCUCAAGGUCGCUGGUUCAAACCCAGCUGGAGAG